CUCGGUCGUUUGAGCAAAGUGGAUCCACCUUUUCCCAUUCCGAACAGAGAAGUGAAACGCUUUAGCGCCGACAAUAGUCUUCCCGCAAGGGAUCUUGAAGAUAGGUCGCGGCCGGGA
rnacentral:rRNA from 1 species